rnacentral:lncRNA from 1 species
CAGCUUGCCUGCUGUCAUAGAGGAAGCCUGCAGCAGCUUCAGAAGGUGAAUUGUGACACCUUCCACAGCUCAGCUCAGCUCCUCACCUCCAAGGUUUCCCUCCACAGUGUGUGUGAGAGGGAACUUUGUGUCACAGCAUCCCUAGUCUGAAAGGAGACAUCUGUCGUAACAUUCUUGGAAGGCAGGCCAUUUCACUGGCCUUCAGCUCCUGUUUCCCCACUUCCUGGCUGUGAAUUGAGCUUUUGCUCCAGCUUUCUGACCACAAGCUACUUGAAGAACUGCUUCAUGCUUAUAUUUAUGUCAUCAUUCCGACCACGAUGCUUGUUGUGCUACCAACCACUGCGUUCUUUGUCUUCUUUACAGGAGGCAGUCUAAAGAAGGAAAUUUAGUGGAAAGAUUUGUUAUAAUCCUAUAGAGACGGUAAACAGGACUCCCAUACUUGCUUC